CGCUAUCGAAAAUCAUGCAUUGGAUGGAUGCCCGAGCAUUGAGAAGGAAGGACGCUUUCAGAGACGAAAGGCCAUGGGGAGAUAUUUUUCUAUGAUCCAUGGAUCUCCGAUCGGGAAACCAUAUCCAAGCUCCGUGGCUAGUCUGCGCUCUUUGGACUUUUCAAACUUAGUGAACUGAAACAUCUGAGUAGCUAAAGGAAGGAAAAUCAACCGAGACCCCUUUAGUAGCGGUGAGUGAGAGCGGAACAAGGGUUUUCAUCAAAAGAAAUCCGAAGCGGUUUCAUUCGAUUUGUUGUGGAUUGGAUGAUGGAAAAACCAGCAAGCAGCAAGAGUAGUUAGAAAAGUUGCCAUAGCGCGCCCUACGGAGUUGUACAAAGUCAGCAACCGUUUUGGGGCGCAAGCAUAGGCAACACAGGACUGAUGACGGGGUGGGGCGCGCAGUGAACUGGUUUUCUAAAAAGAUUGGAAGAUUCGGCCAAAGAAGGUGAUAGCCCUGUUCAUUCGUUCCCAUGGUUCGAUCCUUCCCAGUAAAACGCGGCGUGUUCGAAUGAUGAUCACUUUUACACGAGAAAGGGGGACCACCCUCUAAGCCUAAGUAUUCCUCAAUGACCGAUAGCGUACAAGUACCGUGAGGGAAAGGUGAAAAGAACCCCAACCGGGGAGUGCAAUAGAGAACCUGAGAUCCGAUGCGAACAAUCAGUCGAAGGAGAGGAGCGCGGGCGCACUCACUCUAACGGCGUACCUUUCGCAUGAUGGGUCAGCGAGGAAAUGGGAACAGCGGCUUAAGCCAUUAGGUGUAGGCGCUUUCCAGAGGUGGAAGAUUUACGUUCUUCCUAUUUGACCCGAAACCGAUCGAUCUAGCCAUGAGCAGGUUGAAGAGAGCUCUAACGGGCCUUGGAGGACCGAACCCACGUAUGUGGCAAAAUACGGGGAUGACUUGUGGCUAGGGGUGAAAGGCCAACCAAGAUCGGAUAUAGCUGGUUUUCCGCGAAAUCUAUUUCAGUAGAGCGUAUGAUGUCGAUGGCCCGAGGUAGAGCACUCAAUGGGCUAGGGUGGCCCCCAUUUCGCUUUACCAACCCCAGGGAAACUCCGAAUACAGGCCGUCAUCCUUAGUACAGACAGACUGAUUGGGUGCUAAGAUCCAAAGUCGAGAGGGAAACAGCCCAGAUCAUACGCUAAGGUCCCUAAGCAAUCACUUAGUGGAAAAGGAAGUGGUCGAGCGAUGACAACCAGGAGGUGGGCUUGGAAGCAGCCAUCCUUUGAAGAAAGCGUAAUAGCUCACUGGUCUAGCUCCAUGGCACCGAAAAUGUCUCAGGGCUCAAGUGAUUCACUGAAGUGACGAGACCUUGAAAGCAACUUUUUCAAGUGUCAGUAGCGGGACGUUCUAUCAAUCGGGGAAGGUUUUUGGUGACAAGACCUGGAGAUAUCAGAAGUGAGAAUGCUGACAUGAGUAACGAGAAAUCCUGUGAAAAACACGAUCGACUGCCAUCGGAAGGCUUUCUGCGUUCAGUCAAUCUACACAGAGUGAAUCGGUCCCUAAGGAACCCCCGAAAGGGCUGCCGUCCGAUGGGUACACGAAAGUGACGAAGUUGCUUUGACUACUAAACCAUGCUUGGAUCGUCGAAGUGAAUUGGAUGAUCGGGCUGAGGGCUGCCCCCUCUUCCCCUCGCUCUCCUUUCCUUAAUAUUCACCGUCGAGUCAUCAAAGACGUCAACUAAUUCAGAGGGGCUCGGCUGGCCCGGUCGCCCUACGCUACUGGCGCUUCCAAAGGCGAAGCUCUCAUCUUUGGCGACCAGCAAACGGAGGGAUAAAACCUGUAGUUUUGAAGCAAGGGAUGAGCGCGAAAGCCGUUGCGAUUCCGUACACGUGCAUACGUUUUCUUGCUGGGGCGAACACGGAUUUCUCUCUAAAGGCGAAGAAAAAGAAGUGGGCGAACACUCGGCCCAGCGGGCGAACAUGCCGGCUCCGGCUCCGCACACCUGCUGACACCUUUCAAAGCACUUUCACGUGUGAAUCGAGGUCGUCUUGCCGAACUCCUUCCUUUCUCAUUGCAGUCCUCACCUUUUUCAUCUUUCGUAGGGGCCUUUAGUCUUUUGAUUAGAGUGGAGGUGGCGAGAGAGCAGAGCGUACCGCCCUGCCAUAGUCGCGAGGAUCUUAAUAGUCGGUCGCGACUGUUGUCAUAGUCAACGACGGUUGAAACUUCUAGGAAAAAACUUCGAAUUGGGAGGGCGAUCCUCCUGGUGAACUGACCGUACCCCAAUCCGACACAGGUGAACAAGUAGAGUAUACUAGGGCGCGUCGAGAGAACCAUGUCGAAGGAACUCGGCAAAAUGACCCCGUAACUUCGGGAGAAGGGGUGCUCUCCUAUCUUUUGAUUAGGAAAGUGGCACAUACCAGGGGGUAGCGACUGUUUAUUAAAAACAAAGGACUCUGCUAAGUGGUAACACGAUGUAUAGAGUCUGACACCUGCCCGGUGCUGGAAGGUCG
rfam:Triticum urartu cultivar G1812 contig701614, whole genome shotgun sequence.